CUCGAGAUGACCUAGUGGCGAACGGGUGAGUAACACGUGGGCAAUCUGCCCGUAUGUCGUGGAUAACGGUUGGAAACGACAGCUAAUACAGGAUGAGCAUCCCGAAGGCAUCUUUGGGAUGUAAAAGGGGCUAAGGCCCCGCAUACGGAUGAGCCUGCGGUGCAUUAGCUAGUUGGUGAGGUAACGGCCCACCAAGGCGAUGAUGCAUAGCCGACCUGAGAGGGUGACCGGCCACAUUGGGACUGAGACACGGCCCAAACUCC
rnacentral:rRNA from 1 species